AUUGAACGCUGGCGGCAGGCCUAACACAUGCAAGUCGAGCGAGCGGCGGACGGGUGAGUAAUGUAUGGGGACUGCCCGAUAGAGGGGGAUAACUACGGGAAACGGUGGCUAAUACCGCAUACUAUCGGAUAACCCAUAGGGGAUUAGCUAGUAGGUGGGGUAAAGGCCCACCUAGGCGACGAUCUCGAGCUGGUCUGAGAGGAUGAUAAGCCACACGGGAACUAGGACACGGCCCAGACUCCUACGGAUGCAGCAGUGGGGAAUAUUGCACAAUGGGCGCAAGCCUGAUGCAGCCAUGCCGCGUGUAUGAAGAAGGCCUUCAGGUUGUAAAGUACUUUCAGCGGGGAGGCGUUACCCGCAGAAGAAGCACCGGCUAACUCCGUGCCAGCGGCCGCGGUAAUAC
rnacentral:rRNA from 1 species